UUGAGCUUGCCUUUUAACACCGCCAUAAUUAGUUUUUACCCAGCCUCCGGCCCUGGGUGUCUGGCUUUGUGGGCCGUGUCUCUUAAAGAAUCGAACCUGUCUGGCAAACAGAAACAAACUGCCCGGCACAACUCCACUCGUUUGCACGCCUCCCUACCAGAUUGCUUAUUGAACAGCAUGUGUGACAGCUUCAGGGCUGGAGGGGCCACAGAGGAGGCCGGGAGAUCCACAGCAAACACAAUGUUUCAGGACACCUCUAAUUUUUUCAUCAUUUAAGUUGUCCUAUAAUUAAUCUGCCUGUACGUUUAAUUAAAAAGAAAAGUUGAGGGUGUAAUUGAAUGCAAUGGCUGCCUUGUGAGUCGACCCGGAGAACAAUGUGAGUGGUAAUGCAUCGUGGCAGCGGGGAUACAUCACGUUAGUUAAUCUGAGGUUGACCUCGGAGCAACUUGGGUGAGAGAGAGACAACAGACUCUUUGCUGUGCAAACCUCCCCCAAACAGCACAGACGGACCUGUAUUUAAAUCUGGAAAUUAAUCUGUCACCUCAUGGAUGUUGACCGAAAUUACUUCAAGGGCAGAAUUAAUGUGACACUUAAUAUUAGUUACUGUUACCAUAGCCUAUGGGCUGCUUAACAUAAUUGUGUUUUUCUACUCAUACCCCAUCUCUUUUGUGGCUAAAGCUAAUAUCUUAGUGUGAUUUUAAGGGUUGUAGGAGUCGUGCAUUACUUCAUGGUGUCUUUUCACAAAACGUUAGUACAUAAAUACAUACAUGUGAAUAAUGGAUAACUUUCAUAGACAUAUUAUGUGAGACGACGGACAAUUGAAUUUCCCUUCGGGGAUCAAUAAAGUGCUUCUCAUUCUUAUUCUUAAUGUGAAAUGUGUAGUUUGGGUAUUGCAGAAUAUGUUAAGUCAGUAGUUGUGAUCAAUAUGAGCUGUUUAGUUGAAAUUAACUUGAACUGGUGAGGCAGUACCAGUAAUGUAAGCUCAAGAGAAGUUGUAAAUGAAGACUAAUGUUAUGAGAUCAUAUUGCACUGACUUGUAUUAUAUCAUAUCUAACUAUAUUGUUUCUCAUCUGAUUGUAUCAUAUUGUACUGUACCAUAUUGUAUCAUACCCUAUCAUAUCUUCUUUGUGUUGUUCUGUAUCCAAAUGUACGGUAUGGUAUACAGUCUUACUGUAUUUUACAGUAAGACUUUUACAGUAUCUAACUGUAUUGUAUCUAAUCUAAAUUAAUUACUGUAAAUCAUAUAAAAUUCUAUUACACAACAGUUUAUUGUGUUGUGUUGCUCACUCACUCAUAAGGCAUUGUCAUGUAUUGAAAUGUAUUUUAUUGUAUUGUAUCAUAUCUUAUUUUAUCAUACGGUAUCUUACUGUUUUUAUCAUUAUGUAUCAUUUUGUAUUAUAUAAAAUCUUAUUCCACUGUACUGUAUUGUUUUUAUUCUAUUGUAUUGAACCUAAUCUUACUGUAUAGUGCAGUAUCUUAUUAUAAUGUAUGAUAUCAAAUUGUGCUUCAUCUUAUCUCAUCUCAUUUUAACAGCAUGUUACUGUAUUGUGUAAUCUCUCAUUGUAUUGUAUCCUAUCUUAUUGUGUUAAAUCCUAUUUUAAUUUAACUAUAUUAUCUUUAUCUUAUCUUCACGUCUAAUUCUAUUCUAUCAUAACUUUUUGCAUUGUAUUGUACUGUUAUUGUACUCUUGCUCUUUAUCUAAUCGUGUUGUAUUACUUGUGCUAUGGAAAAUUGAACCUUUUUUUUUUUUUGCAUCUUUUUUUGUAUCAUGUUGUGUAGUAUUGAAUCAUAUUGUGUCCUCUGUAGCAUUGCAUCAUAUUCUGAUGCACUGAACUAUGUUGUAUUAUAUUGUAUCUCAUUGUGUUGUGCAUCAUACUGGAUCAUAUUGCGUCUUGUUAAUAUUCUUGUACAUAAUCACUUAAAUUGUGAAUAUACUCGAGUUGAAUUCUCUUUAAUUCAUCUCAGCCCUAAAGGCUGUUUUUGUUUGCAUUCAAUCCAGCCGCACAGGAUGAGAGUGACUCACCACUACAGUAGAUCAUGCUCUGUGCGAGUUCACAACAGGGCAAAUGCAAAAUACUACAACAAAAGCCUCAGUUCUCAGUCUGCAUUACUCUGUGCCCUCAGACAAAAAUGAAUAAUGAAAGAAAGACCAAACCACGCACAGUCAGCUCAAUUGCUAAUGGCACGUCACGCUUGAUUCUGGCAUGCAGCCAUUGUCAGCCAAACAACAUCUGUGACAUGUGUGUGCAGGGAAGGGGAAACAAAGCAAUUUCAGAAGUCAUUUGAGCCGAGUCAGUGAUGGUCCAGUGACAAUGUUUUGUGCUUGUUGUUGGGGGAGAAAAAACAGUGAGGCGAGUAAAUGACAGAGAAAGAAUGACAAGUGGCAGGCUAAACAAAAUAACACUGAGUUGAUUUUACUUUGUUGGAGUUACAAGACUUGGUAGACUGUUAUAUCACGCAUGAAGGCAAAUACUCAGUGCCUGUCAUGGUGGAGAUUUCACUGCUUGUUCUAUUUUCGUCCUCUAAGUUGAGGCUUAAUGUGAAAAUUUGCAACGAAAGCCCACAGUUUAUCAGUCAUGUUAUGGCUCUUCAGCUCCAGCUUCAGCUCUCUUUAAAUUCAAAAUAGGAAGACACUCCUUUGACCAGUGGCUUGACGCUAUAGAUGUUGACAUUUCUAAAGAGAUUUGUCAACAAAUCAGUCGAGCUGUUCGUUCAAUACCUAUAAAAACCACCUUUACUGCUCAGAUCAAAUCGAAUCUGCCGUUUCAAGGACUUUUUCUUUGAGAGGGGGCUCAGUUUGAUACUAGAUAAGAACUUUAUGCCUUGAUCUGUGCUGAAUGUGAUGGUAUAUUUUUAUCUACACGUUAGGCCCUCAACUUGCUAUAGUUUAAAUCAUAUCAUCGCUUUUUAACUGAAGAAGGCAUGAUAAUGUAAAUUACAGCUGGUUGAAAUUGAGGUGUUCCUCAGGGAUCAUCUCUAGGACAACUUUUAUUUCAUCUCCAUAAGUUAUUGUCUAUUCAUCUGCUGUUUUGCCCUCUCAAUUGAAUUCAAAUGGCCCAGGUAUAUUACUUAAAUAUCAAAUUUUGGAUUUGUCAUGAUUACUAACAAAUUCAAUCACCUAGCUUUAGCUACAUUAGCGGUUUAAGCUAGCUUGGCUCCAGAACUCUACAUCUUUAUCUUCAUCUCUAUCUUUGAAUCUUCGAAAUACUGAAUAUUUAGCAAUAUUUGAAGGAACAGUUGACUAUUUAGAGCAGACCUGGGCAUUUUUCGGCCCGAGGGCUACAUCCGGCCCUUUGGAUAUCUCUGCCUGGCCCUUCAUGAGGUCCAUCACACAAAUCAUCAACAUGCAAUAAGUGUUGUUCCGUUUGGAUGCCUGUGUGUACAUUGUAGAUCUGCAUUUGUGAACAGAGACAAGUUUAAACAUCAGCAAAAUAUACUUAGACGCCUUAUGGUUGCCAAGUUUGCUUAUUAUAGAAGACUUUAGGCUUGUUUCUCUCAGAAGUCGCUUGUAAAACUCGUGAGUCGCGGAUGCGCUUUUUUGGGGCUUGUUUUUAACUAGUAGUUGCUUAUUUAGGCUUGCUUUUCUGUAUGUGUGAACCCCCCUGAUUUGAAGUUGAAGUUAUUGUUGGUUCGGCCCUCCAACACAGUUCAGGUUUCUCAUGUGGCCCAAUGUGAAAAUUAAUUGCCCACCCCUGAUUUAGAGAGAAGUCAGAACCAGAAAUAUAAGCUUCAGCUGGCUACCAAGUCUGCUAACAACUUAACUUUAUUUAUGAAAGGUGGCUGGAGAAAGAAACAACAAUUUGUCGCCAUAAAUUUUGUACGGCCCAACAUGUCAAUGAGUAAGUAAGCUACUUACGACAGAUUGAUUAGGGAAAAACAGCAGCCUCUGUAGAACAGAAGUGAUUCUCACAGCAGUGAAAGUGAUGAUUCUCUGAAUUAGCUCAUAGAAAAAUUAAAUAAAACAAUCUUGAUCACUCUAAUGGCGAGGCAAUUACUGUAACUCCCACAUUUCAACAAACAGUCCCAGCACAGGCUGUGAGUCAUUAGGAUCAAUUUUAAGGCCAAGCACAGAGGUGGGUUGAGGGAUGAGAGGUUAGGGAAGACUUUGUUUACCUGCUCGGCGUUAUCUAGUCUGUAAUGAUUAUUUGAAAAAUGCCUCUUGAAAUCUGAUGAACAAAGUUUGGUGAGAAAAAGCAACUCUUUCACGAAACACACAACCAAGUGGGUUGAAAGACAAAAGACGUGCAAUGUAAUUGUCGAACUAAUGGCUUUGUUUAUAGCACGUCACCCUCAGUCUCUCUGAAUCCUGUCGACAUCUUUCUAAUCCAUUUGCUGAGCUGUUGUUAGAAACCCCCGACUCUAAUUUAUGCUGUACACAUGCGUAUUUGUGUGUCUGUGUAGUCUAACCGUUCAGUGUUAUUCUACAAGCCUUCAACCCUGACAUCACUCUCUUCUGCGAGGGAAUAUAGGGCCUUUAUUUACUAUUGUUUAAUCAAGAUGGUGGAUGGGUUGAGUUUAAUUAACCCAACUUGGUGAUAAAUGUAAAUGCCAAAUGUCGGCCAGUGCAACAGCAUAAAGCUUUUACGAGCUUGAGCCCUUUUCUCUGAGGAGUAUAAAGCAGCUCCGUGCUGACCCGCUGAAUCCAGAAUGGCCCGAGGUUGGUAAUGAAUCCUGUUACGAGAUAGAGAGAGCAAUGGGAGUUUAACAUAAAAGCGAUAUGAUUCUUAGUUUCAUUUCACACACGACAUCUUAUAUCACGGAGCUAAUUUUAUCAGGAAAGGCGGCUGUGUCACGGUUUGAUGCUUGUUGCAAACGUUUAGCGGGGUACAACUUGAUAGCACAAGACAGAUUUAGUCCAUUUACCACAAAUAAUUUUACUCCUAGCGGUCCAGAGGCGUACCACAAGAAUAAAAGGUAAUCUCAAAGUGACAUUUUACCAAUUUUGGGAAUUAGCCAAGCAGUUUUCUUGGUCAGAGGUAGAUGAGAAUGUCAAUAUCAUCCUGGUAAAUAUGUGGCUUUUGUCUGAGACUCUUUCUUGGCUUGGUGCAGAGUCUUGUUUUCACUGUGAUAUAUCCAGGCAAGCUGUGGAUUGAGUUAACCAGUCAACACACUCAAGUAGGAGACCAUACUUUGAUUGGAUGGGCUUCAAUUGGGAAUAGGUUCAGGGAGGGCUCUGAAGUAGAUUGGUGUUCGGACCUAUUUGGCACCCCAGUGGGAAAUAUAUGGGCUCGAAUUGGUCAAGGCGUUCAGACAGCGAUCAGGGAUCCUGGGGGUGUCUCAACUGGACAGUGUUCCACCCAUUAAGGCGGUUUAUUUAGCUCCUCAAGGGCUCUCCACUGAAACAUCGAAGCUAACCUUUGUGGGGCCUCCAUGGAGCAUAAGGCCCUACCUUUCCUCUAAAUAGUCUUGGUAGCUUUUUCCACUUGUUGCCAAACCUUCUUACCUGAGUAAGCCAGAUACUCAUUAUGUCUACAUGCACAGUUAAGAUGUUUUUUAACUGGACUACUGUCUUUGUCAAAAAUAAGAGCUGGUUUAUCAACGAGGGAUAUCCACUUGGUGAUUUGCCCAGUUUCAGUUAAAUACCAUGGGGCGAUCUCUAGCUUGCGUACAUUUUCAAAACACCAGUUUCGCCUUCUUCUUCUUUUUGAGGUUUUGUUUACCAACUGACUCCCUUCAAUACAUUUCAACUUCCAAGUACAAGCCUGUAGAGCAUGCACAGACCAGUUUGAG